rnacentral:tRNA from 1 species
GGGCAUGUAGCUCAGAUGGUAGAGUGCUCGCUUAGCAUGCGAUAGGUACGGGGAUUGAUAUCCCGCAUCUCCA